UCUGGGAUUAGAUACCCUGUUAUUUAAAAUGUAAAUUAUUUAUAAAGGUAGUAAUAGUUAUGUUCUUGAAACUUAAAAAAUUUGGCGGUAUUUUAGUCUAUUCAGAGGAACCUGUUCUGUAAUUGAUAUUCCACGUUGGACCUUACUUAAAUUUGUUUUGCAAUUUAUAUACCGUUGUUAUUAAAAUAUUUUGUAAAAAGAUAAUAUUUAAUUUUUUAUAUAAAAAUUUAUAUCAAAUCAAGGUGUAGUUUAUGUUUAAGUAGAAAUGGGUUACAAUAAAUUUAUUUAUGGAUUUAAAUAUGAAAAAUUUAUUGAAAUUGGAUUUGAUAGUAAAAUUAUAUAGAUUAAUAAUUUGAUUUAAGCUCUAAAAUAUGUACAAAUCGCCCGUCACUCUCUGA
rnacentral:rRNA from 1 species